rnacentral:rRNA from 1 species
UCCUACGGGAGGCAGCAGUAGGGAAUCUUCCGCAAUGGACGAAAGUCUGACGGAGCAACGCCCCGUGAACAAUGAAGGCUUUCGGGUCGUAAAGUUCUGUUGUCCGGCAAGAACAAGUACCGGAGUAACUGCCGGUACCUUGACGGAACCUGACCAGAAAGCCCCGGCUAACUAUGUGCCAACAGCCGCGGUAAAACGUAGGUGGCAAGCGUUGUCCCGAAUUAUUGGGCGCAAAAGCCCGCCCCGCGGUCCUUUAAUGAUAAAUGUAAAUCCCCCCCCU